UGCCCUGAUGAGGUAGGUCUAUUGUGACCUACGUGUCACACAGGAACAAACAGAAGUGCUCAAGGGUGCGCAGCUGGCUAAGCAGUGGGGCUGGGCCAGGCAGCCUGGCUCCAGCCUGUGCUCUCGACCUCUGUGCCAUCUCGACUCUCUGCCACAGGAAGGUUGUUAUGAAGACAAGGACUUGCCCAUGGAUUUUAAGAAGCACUAAGAUCAGUCUGAAAAUGGAGCCUGGGGAUGAGUGUGAGCCCCUCCUCUCCUAACAUGCACAAGGAGACAUGGAAGCAUGUGUGGCUUGGAUAUUUUGAGGACGGAAGAAUCUGUGGACCAGGUGGGAGGCAAAACAAGGCAAAGACAACAAAAGCAAAAUAAACAAAUGGGACUACGUCAAACUAAAAAGCUUUUGCACAGUGAAGGAAACCAUCAACAAAACAAAAAGUCAACUUAAUGGGAGAAGAUAUUCACAAAUGUUAUAUGAAAUAAGUGGUUGACAUCCAAAAUAUAUAAAGAACUCAUAAAACUCAAUAUAAAACAACGACUAUUGAUUAAAAAUGGGCAGAGGACCUGAAUAGACGUUUCUCUAAAGAAGAUAUACAGAUGGCCAACAGACACAUGAAAAGAUGCUCAAUAUCACUCAUCAUCAGAGAAAAUGCAAAUCAAAACCACAUUGAGAUAUCACUUCACACCUGUCAGAAUGGAGAGUAUCAAAAAGUUAAGAAUAACAAGUGUUGGUGGAAGAUGUGGAGAAAAUAGAACCUUCUGCAUGUUGGUGGGAAUGUAAAUUGGUUCAGCCACUCUGGGAAACAGUAUGGAGAUUCCUCAAAAAAUUAAAAACAGAACUACAAUAUGAUCUAGCAGUUCCACUUUUGGGCAUUUAUCUGAAGAAAAUGAAAACACCAAUCUGAAGAGAUAUAUACAGCCCCAUGUUCACUGAAGCAUUAUUUACAACAGCCAAGAUAUGGAAGCAAUUAAAGUGCCCAUCAAUAGAUGAAUGGAUAAAUUAGAUGUGGUAUA